rnacentral:rRNA from 1 species
GUGGGGAAUAUUGGACAAUGGGCGAAAGCCUGAUCCAGCCAUGCCGCGUGUGUGAAGAAGGUCUUCGGAUUGUAAAGCACUUUAAGUUGGGAGGAAGGGCAGUAAGUUAAUACCUUGCUGUUUUGACGUUACCGACAGAAUAAGCACCGGCUAACUUCGUGCCAGCAGCCGCGGUAAUACGAAGGGUGCAAGCGUUAAUCGGAAUUACUGGGCGUAAAGCGCGCGUAGGUGGUUUUGUAAGUUGGAGGUGAAAUCCCCGGGCUCAACCUGGGAACUGCCUACAAAACUGCAUGACUAGAGUACGGUAGAGGGUAGUGGAAUUUCCUGUGUAGCAGUGAAAUGCGUAGAUAUAGGAAGGAACACCAGUGGCGAAGGCGACUACCUGGACUGAUACUGACACUGAGGUGCGAAAGCGUGGGGAGCAAACAGGAUUAGAAACCCGUGUAGUCC